rnacentral:rRNA from 1 species
GGCGGGGGGGGGGGGGGGGGUUGCCGGCGGCGGGGCGGAGGGGGGGGCCCGCCUGUGGUGGGGUGCUCAAGUGUCGCAGCGGGAAGUAGCACGUGAGUGCCCUGCCGUUGGCGAUCGGAGGACUUCAAGCAAUUUGGGCUAGUCACUGCUCUGUGCUCCUGCUCCAUUGAGGGGGAGUUAUUGUUUCGUCGGUUGGGGACCGACUCGCGGCUGAUCAGCCUGUUGGUGGGGCAGUGGCUUCCCAAGGCUUUGCCGGGUAGCCGGCCUGAGAGGGUGACCGGCCACAUUGGGACUGAGAUACGGCCCAGACUCCUACGGGAGGCAGCAGUGGGGAAUAUUGCACAAUGGGCGGAAGCCUGAUGCAGCAACGCCGCGUGCGGGAUGACGGCCUUCGGGUUGUAAACCGCUUUCGCCUGUGACGAAGCGUGAGUGACGGUAAUGGGUAAAGAAGCACCGGCUAACUACGUG